UAUGAUACGAAAAUUUACAGUUUUUAAAAGAUUUUUUACUAUUCACUAUCGUAAUUUCAUUAAGAGUUUAUUGUAAUCAAUUCAAUAAGAAAUAUUACAAUGUUACUAUCGUAAAUAGUAAAAGAAUAAAAAAUAAGAUUUAAUUAUACUAUUUAUUCUUUUAUUCUUCCUUUUAAUUUACAGUGCUGCCUCUAUGUUUUUACAAUACAAGCUACAAAAAUUACGAUAGUUGGAUUGUAAAUUUUCUGAAAUGGUAUAGUAUAUGCCAUCUGAAGCGUUUACGUAUGAAAGACAAGUGUUGUCACAAACCAUGAUGUGAUGCUUGUAUGAGUGUAUAUAUAUAUAUAUAAAUACAAAUGAUGACAUCUACUUUGUCUGUAUUAUUUGUGGUUCAACUAUAUAUAUUUAUAAAUCAGUUCAUCUUUAUCCACAGUGUAGUGCAGAAAUAGAGGUUAUUAUUCAUGACGUUUUUCGGACAAUUGUAAAUAAGAAAUUUAAAAUAAAAACUGUACUUUCGUCAUUACAAACCUACAUAGAUUGUGGAAUAUAAUAAUUUGGUGGUGAUAAUCUUCAUUUGUCGACAAUGAAUAAUUUUACCCGGCUUUGCGAGAGGUAAAACAUUUCAAUAACCUCAAAUUAUGGACAUUCAACAUUUCUUUAUGAUACUGAAGUUAGCAGACGCCUAAUAAUUUUUGGAUUUUUUUAAAAAUGAUAAAUUAUAGAAAAAAAGUAUUCGAAAAAAUUGCACCUAUGGUUUUUUUAAUUUUCUACAUGUGCGUAUUUUGAAUACAAAUAAAUGAGUUAUUUAUUCAUAAAUUUUAUAUAUACCAAAAAAAUAUGUUUGAAAAAAUAUUAAAUAAAUGUUUUAUUAUUACUACUUCAA